AGUUACUAUCAAGAUCUUUGUCUAAACCUCUGGUAUGUACGGUAACAGGCAAUAUGCAUUCCUUCAAGAAAGGCUGGGUUGUUGCUGAUCUCUCAGCUGCUCCCAUAAAGGAACUCUUUCCCUCGGAUGGCCUUCAUGCAGCCUGGGCUCGAACCUGCAGCCUCAGAAUUAUGAGGCAGUGGCACCGACCGCUGCUCCACCGCGUGACUUUAAUUUAAUUUCUUGUGUUUCAGCAUUACUGUUAUGACUUUAUUCAUUUGUCUGGGUUGAUUUUAUUUCCAAGGUGUUUACCACCAGCCUGACAGGGAGCAGCUGUGAACUGACAGAUUCACAGGAUGAACAUGUUUUUCAUCAAAUAAAUAAUAAAUGUGGACGAAUUAAAUGUAGGACUAAAAAAACCAUGCGCUGCUAGAAGUUGCAUAAUCUAGACCUCAAUUAUUCGCACCUAAUAAACUAAUGGAGGAUUUAUUUAUCGUUAUAUUUUUUUUUCUCAGUUUACAGAUCCAGAUUGGGCCGGACCGGCAGGAACCCGGACAGACAGCACGGGAAUACAGACAAGCCCGAAGAAAACCGGGUCGAGCCCGCUCCUCCUGAGCCGCUCCGAACCGGACCACACAAUCCUCUGAGCCGCGCCUCAGACCCGGUUCUGUCCAGGGUCCAACCGCUAAUCCAAACGUCGGAGCUUGAGAGACAGCCGAGGCGUGCGUCUGCACCUGAUCCUCUGUGGGCGGGGUGAGCAGCGGCGUCUAAACAGGAAGUGACGCCAUCACGUCGCUGUGAAGAAGUAAGAUUGUGUAAAAAACUUCAAAGGACCAAUCAAACAUUUUUCUUUAUUACAAAAUUUAAAAAUUGACUUUAUUUCUUAUUAAUACAAAAUAUGUUCACCCUGUGUGAAUUUGCUGUCACUUUGCUGCAGGUGCACCUGAAUAUAACCACUGAGGGACAAUAAAAACAAUAUAAGAGAAUUUUAAAAAGUAUUUAAGCAUGAAAGCUCUUAUUUUUAAUGUGUGACUGUGUCCAAUAACAUAACUACAUCUCUGCUGUUUGUAACAAACCAAA